ACUGCUGUGAAAGUCGUCGGAUCCUCAACGAUGCAUUUCUUUGUUUGUUUUGUUGUCUUGUUGCUAUCUGCAAUCUGCAACGGCCAGUCUUUAAUCAAUGCCGAAAAAAGCCCACUUUGCAAAGUGCGGAAUACAUACAUAAAAGUGGAGGGAGAAUGUGAUUCCUACAUUGAAUGCCGGGACUAUCUCUCGACUGAAAUGCUAUGUCCAGAUGGUCUUCAUUUCAACCCUAACGCACAGUGGC